CCGGUGUUGGAUGUUCUAAGCCAUGCGAGUCAUUGUAGUAAUACAAGGCAGACGGCUCAGUAACGCGUAGUCAAUCUACCCUAUGGACGAGGAUAACCUCGGGAAACUGAGAAUAAUACUCGAUAGAACACUAUGCCUGGAAUGGUUUGUGUUUGAAAUGAUUUAUCGCCGUAGGAUGGGACUGCGGCCUAUCAGUUUGUUGGUGAGGUAAUGGCCCACCAAGACUAUUACAGGUACGGGCUCUGAGAGGAGUGGCCCGGAGAUGGGUACUGAGACACGGACCCAGGCCCUAUGGGGCGCAGCAGGCGAGAAAACUUUGCAAUGUGCGAAAGCACGACAAGGUUAAUCCGAGUGGUUUCUGCUAAAGAAACCUUUUGUUAGUCCUAGAAACACUGAUGAAUAAGGGGUGGGCAAGUUCUGGUGUCAGCCGCCGCGGUAAAACCAGCACCUCAAGUGGUCAGGAUGAUUAUUGGGCCUAAAGCAUCCGUAGCCGGCUAUGUAAGUUUUCGGUUAAAUCUGUGCGCUUAACGUACAGGCUGCCGGGAAUACUGCAUAGCUAGGAAGUGGGAGAGGUAGACGGUACUCGGUAGGAAGGGGUAAAAUCCUUUGAUCUAUUGAUGACCACCUGUGGCGAAGGCGGUCUACCAGAACACGUUCGACGGUGAGGGAUGAAAGCUGGGGGAGCAAACCGGAUUAGAUACCCGGGUAGUCCCAGCUGUAAACUAUGCAAACUCAAUGAUGCAUUGGCUUGUGGCCAAUGCAGUGUUGCAGGGAAGCCGUUAAGUUUGCCGCCUGGGAAGUACGUACGCAAGUAUGAAACUUAAAGGAAUUGGCGGGGGAGCACCACAAAGGGGUGAAGCCUGCGGUUCAAUUGGAGUCAACGCCGGG
rnacentral:rRNA from 1 species